rnacentral:rRNA from 1 species
UACGGAGGGUGCGAGCGUUGUCCGGAAUCACUGGGCGUAAAGGGCGCGUAGGCGGUGCGGUAAGUCACCUGUGAAAUCUCCUGGCUCAACUGGGAGUCUGCAGGCGAAACUGCCGUGCUGGAGUAUGGGAGAGGUGCGUGGAAUUCCUGGUGUAGCGGUGAAAUGCGUAGAUAUCAGGAGGAACACCUGUGGCGAAAGCGGCGCACUGGACCAUAACUGACGCUGAGGCGCGAAAGCUAGGGGAGCAAACAGG